GAUGAACGCUGGCGGCGUGCUUAACACAUGCAAGUCGAGCGAGAGAGUUCCUCGGAGCAAUCUAGCGGCGGACGGGUGAGUAACACGUGGGCAACCUGCCUCAUAGAGGGGAAUAGCCUCCCGAAAGGGAGAUUAAUACCGCAUAACAUUAUUAAGUGGCAUCACUUGAUAAUCAAAGGAGCAAUCCGCUAUGAGAUGGGCCCGCGGCGCAUUAGCUAGUUGGUGAGGUAACGGCUCACCAAGGCGACGAUGCGUAGCCGACCUGAGAGGGUGAUCGGCCACAUUGGGACUGAGACACGGCCCAGACUCCUACGGGAGGCAGCAGUGGGGAAUAUUGCACAAUGGGGGAAACCCUGAUGCAGCAACGCCGCGUGAGUGAUGACGGCCUUCGGGUUGUAAAGCUCUGUCUUUGGGGACGAUAAUGACGGUACCCAAGGAGGAAGUCACGGCUAACUACGUGCCAGCCGCCGCAGUAAAAC
rnacentral:rRNA from 1 species